rnacentral:rRNA from 1 species
AAUCAACGCUGGCGGCGUGCCUAACACAUGCAAGUCGAACGCGGUUAUUCCCGCAAGGGAGUAACUGAGUGGCGAACGGGUGAGUAACGCGUGGGUGACCUACCUUCGAGUGGGGGAUAACGUCCCGAAAGGGACGCUAAUACCGCAUAACAUCCUGUCCUUGAACGGAUGGAGAUCAAAGCCGGGGAUCGUAAGACCUGGCGUUUGAAGAGGGGCCCGCGUCUGAUUAGCUAGUUGGUGAGGUAACGGCCCACCAAGGCGACGAUCAGUAUCCGGCCUGAGAGGGCGGACGGACACACUGGGACUGAGACACGGCCCAGACUCCUACGGGAGGCAGCAGUGGGGAAUUGUUCGCAAUGGGCGCAAGCCUGACGACGCAACGCCGCGUGGAGGAUGAAGGUCUUCGGAUUGUAAACUCCUGUUGCCCGGGACGAAUGGCUCCAACCUAAUACGUUGGAGUGUGACGGUACCGGGUGAGGAAGCCCCGGCUAACUCUGUGC